GGUCGCAACUUUUGGCGAAAAAUUUAUUUUGAUUGGUUUGGCUUUAUUUCCAACCGAUUUGGUCGGUAGUUUUUAACAAAAAAAUUAAAAUAAUAAUUCCAACCGAAUCGGUCAGAAUUCUUUUUUAAAAACCUUACAGCCCCCUCCCCAAAAAGCAGAAGCUCAGUUUUCAUUCUCUCAUAUCUCCCUCUUGUCCCCAAGGUCCUCUCGUCCUUCUCCCCCGUCCCAAGCUCGUGCAUCUCGCAUGGUCGGCGGCGGCGGCGACAACAACUCCUCAGUCGACUUCUCCGGCAUUGUUUCCGUCGAGAUUCUAUGAAGCCAUUUUAUCAUGAGCCGUGGACUUCUUGGAGAAAGAUACCGUACAGCAUCAGAGAGCAAAUGUGGAAUUAAUUUAGGACAAGGUGUACAUGGUAUCCUCAUCAUCAAAAUGCAAUAAAUAGUAUUUUCGAGAAGAAAGUUGGUAUAAGAAUUAAAGAUACUAUGUGUGCUACUCGGAAUUCUGGUAAAAUGCCGGACUGGUUAAGAGAAGAUGUUUGGGAUAAACUUCUUGAGAAAUGGAUACCCCAGAAUGGAAGGCAAAGAGUGAACAAGAAAAGGCAAACCGUGCCUCUAAAAAAGGUAGCUCGUUGCGCACAGGAGGUUCGUUUACUUUUGAGGCCCUUAAACUAA